GGGAUGCUGUGCUGAAGGGUCCAUGGCCCAUUAAUCGUUUGUUUGAGUUUCCGCCCUGGCCCCGAGGCUGAGUCAGAGGACUGGACUGCAACUGGACCGCCAUUUCUCAUAAUUUCAUCCGUCAAAUGCGAUGUUGGACCCGCCCACGCUCCUCCCCCGCGCUUAGAAAAAGCUCUGCAGAGGGUGGUGAAGGCUCCACAGAAGAUUGUUGGAGUCAGCCUUCCCAGCACCACGGACAUCUACACCUCCAGAUGCAGGAAAAGCUCCACCGCCAUUAGGAUGGAUCUCACCCACCCAGCACACGCACUUUUUGUCCCACUCCAUCAAGUGCAAAACAACCAGACAAACAGCUUCAUUCCAGAAGCUGUAAGAGUCUUUAACUCCACCUAACAACACAAAACAGCACUAACACAAGGACAAAUUACUGUUUACAAACACUGUCACUUUAAACCGCACUAAGACACUUUAUUUUGUACUGCUCUUAAUUCCAUUAUCAUCACAUUAUCAUGC
rnacentral:lncRNA from 1 species